UACGGGGGGAGCAAGCGUUGUUCGGAUUUACUGGGCGUAAAGGGCGCGUAGGCGGCCACUGCAAGUCGGUUGUGAAAUCUCCGGGCUUAACCCGGAAAGGUCAAUCGAUACUGCGGGGCUAGAGUGCAGAAGGGGCAACUGGAAUUCUCGGUGUAGCGGUGAAAUGCGUAGAUAUCGAGAGGAACACCUGCGGCGAAGGCGGGUUGCUGGGCUGACACUGACGCUGAGGCGCGAAAGCUAGGGGAGCGAACGGG
rnacentral:rRNA from 1 species